rnacentral:lncRNA from 1 species
AGCAAUAGGACAAGGAGUAAUGGCCUCGAACUUGAACAUAGGAAGUUCUAUACUAACGUGGAAGAACUUCUUUAUGGUAAGGGUGACACAGCACUGGAACAGGCUGUCCACAGAGGUUGUGGAGUCUCCUUCUAUGGAGAUAUUUAAAGCAAAUGGUAUCCUGGGCUCCAUCAUGAGAGGAGUGGCCAGCAGGGACAGGGAGGUGAUUGUCCCUCUCUACUCUGCUCUUGUGAGGUACCAGCUAGCUGGAGUAUUGUGUCCAGGUAUGGAGCCCCC